rnacentral:rRNA from 1 species
UACGGAAGGGGCAAGCGUUGUUCGGAAUCAUUGGGCGUAAAGGGCGCGUAGGUGGUUCUGUAUGUCUAUCGUGAAAGCGUACGGCUCAACCGUAUUUUGUCGGUAGAAACUGCAGGACUUGAGGCUGGGAGGGGCUGGUGGAAUUCCCUGUGUAGCGGUGAAAUGCGUAGAUAUCUGGAGGAACACCGGUGGCGAAGGCGGCAUCCUGGACCGGCAUUGACGCUGAGGCGCGAAAGCUAGGGGAGCAAACGGG